rnacentral:rRNA from 1 species
UGGAAACUNUCUGACUUGAGUGCAGAAGGGGAGAGUGGAAUUCCAUGUGUAGCGGUGAAAUGCGUAGAUAUAUGGAGGAACACCAGUGGCGAAAGCGGCUNUCUGGUCUGUCACUGACGCUGAGGCUCGAAAGCGUGGGUAGCGAACAGGAUUAGAUACCCUGGUAGUCCACGCCGUAAACGAUGAGUGCUAGGUGUUAGGCCCUUUCCGGGGCUUAGUGCCGGAGCUAACGCAAUAAGCACUCCGCCUGGGGAGUACGACCGCAAGGUUGAAACUCAAAGGAAUUGACGGGGGCCCGCACAAGCGGUGGAGCAUGUGGUUUAAUUCGAAGCAACGCGAAGAACCUUACCAGGUCUUGACAUCCCGAUGCUAUUCUUAGAGAUAGGAAGUUACUUCGGUACAUCGGAGACAGGUGGUGCAUGGUUGUCGUCAGCUCGUGUCGUGAGAUGUUGGGUUAAGUCCCGCAACGAGCGCAACCCUUAUUGUUAGUUGCCAUCAUUAAGUUGGGCACUCUAGCGAGACUGCCGGUAAUAAACCGGAGGAAGGUGGGGAUGACGUCAAAUCAUCAUGCCCCUUAUGACCUGGGCUACACACGUGCUACAAUGGUCGGUACAACGAGUUGCGAGCCGGUGACGGCAAGCUAAUCUCUGAAAGCCGAUCUCAGUUCGGAUUGGAGGCUGCAACUCGCCUCCAUGAAGUCGGAAUCGCUAGUAAUCGCGGAUCAGCACGCCGCGGUGAAUACGUUCCCGGGCCUUGUACACACCGCCCGUCACACCACGAGAGUUUGUAACACCCGAAGUCGGUGAGGUANCCUUUUAGGG